UAUCUUUGUCAUCUCUGAGAAUAUCUCUCUCUCAUCUCUAGCCAGAUCUCUACAACCACCGCAAAUCUCCGGCUCCCUUCCCCCCCACCACCAGUUUCCGACGAGGUAACAUGAAAGCGCAGACCAUCACCAUUGGUGCGUCCCAACCAAGGUUACAUCUUCGAUCCCCCCCCCCCCCCCCCCCCGCGCGCAAAUCUCUCCAUCCAAAACCCUCCUUCAACGGUAGAUAUGAACACUAGACCGGGACUAGUCUCCGACAUCGGCAAGAAAGCCAAAGAUUCUAUCCAUUUCUUUUUGUGCGACAAUUCUCGUAGAUCAGUUCUUCGCAACCCGUGAGUAGAUCUCUUAUCCCUUUUUGCAAUUAAAAUUUUUGGGGUGUAUCAUUGUGUACUAAAAUUUCUUGUUCAUUUUAAUCAUUUACCAAGCAUGCAAUGUUAGUGUGUAUUACAAAUAUUAUUUGGUUGUUUGUUUAUUUCAUUGUUGCUUAUUUGGUUG
rnacentral:lncRNA from 1 species